ACAUAUUCAGAUACAUUUAUUUUACAAAGCAAUAUUAAAGUGUAUAAACAGAAAGAUCCCACUGAUAUUUAAAUUACAGGGAAAAAAUCAGCAGAAAAUACUUAAAUAAUUGUUUCUCUGCACUUGGUAGAGUUCUACACUUAAAUAUUUGUUAACUUUAACCCAAAAACAUGAGUAAAAGUAUUCUAAAAUAGAUGAUGCUCUUGGCAAUUGCAGUGAAAAGAGACAGAUAUGACUGUGUGCCCAUUUUCUGAGUAUUAUGAAAGAAUACUGGUUUUUGAGAAUCACUGAGAUUGUGAUGGAAGAACGAGUCCUGGGAAAAUAAGGCUGAAUUAUUAGGUGGGGCAUUUUUCUGACUUUGCUUUAUAUCCCUGGGUUUAGCUCUGCUCAGAAAUUUGGUCCAAAGAUAAUAGAUCAUUGAUCUGCUCUAGUUUUACAAAGCUCAUUUUAAUUAAGAGUUUCUAAUAAAAGAAUUAUGUCUCUUGCUAUGGCCUUGGUAAGCCUGGGAUAAAAUAUGCCAUAAAUAUUACAUGGCUGUACUGGUGCAAAGUUAUGUGCAAUGCAGGGUUUGAAAAACUCAAGUGCAGACCAUCCACUUUACAGGUAAAGCCAAAGUAUUGAAUUUAAAGAAUGCUGAAAAUUAAUACAGUAGUUUUAUUUUGCAUCUACUGAACUUUAUUUUUAGAAUCACUUUUUAGCAAGAGUACCUUAAAUACUUUUUUAAAAUUCUGAGUCCUCCUCCUCUGGCUUCCACAGGACUGAUUCUCUGUGGUGAGAUGAAGGCAUUACACAGCAAAAAAUUCAGCAAGCUACCUUAAAGCCGAAGCUAAAUCUUUCCCUCAUAAAACGUGAAAUUUCUAGACACAGAUUUUGAAACUGUUUAAGCUUAUAUUUGGAACAAUAUAAAGAUGCAAAAUCGUUUUCAUUUUUUUAAUACUUCAAUUAACUUUUCAUAAAAAAACAGUCACUGACAGAAAUAGAAGGCACUGUUCAAUGAAUAACAAUAUUUGGCAAGGGAAGCAAACACCAUUUCAGAGCCUAAUGUUAGAAAAAGGACACUGUGGUUCAAAGGACUUGUUUUAAUUAAAGACAAUAGUGGCAUGUACAUUCACUUUUCCUCAUAAGAAACAGGCUUUUUCCCCUGAGGAUAUUUUUAUUUUCACAUCUGAAAAAAAAAAAAAAAAAAAAAAAAAAAAAAAAGACCAAAAGUCAAAGAUGCUUCUAAAGUUUGACAUUCCAAGGCUCAAGUAGAAAGAAUUAUUACAGUUUUCGUUUUCCCUUGUGUUCUCACUUCAGGAGAAUCAGUCCCUACCUUCCUACAAUAACCUUAAAUAACCAAAUAACCUUCCUACAAUAACCUUAAAUAACCAAAAAAUAACCAAAAAAGGAUAAAUUAUAAACAGUUAUUCACCAUGAGUUCUAGAAUCAGAUCCCAGGCAAAAGGAUCAAGUUCAAGAUAUCACAGUAGGUUGGAAGAAAGUUCAGAUUAUCAUCUUAAUCUUAGACAGAUUCAGCCUACCAAUUUGACAGUGGUAUCUUCCAUCCAGAACAACUUGCUUGAUGCUCCAUUCCCACAUCCCAGCCUCCUUGCAUUUUUGUACAUCAAAAAGUAUUCUUUUAAAUGUAAGGAAGAAAAUACUCAACUCCUCAUUUUUCUAACAUUUUUUGGUUCAAUGAAUAAACCUUUUAAUGCAAAGGAUAUAUCUCCCAUCAUCCUUAGAUAAGACCUCAGAAUAGCUAUCUCUUAACUACAAAGUUAAUAAUCUUUGCAGUUUACCUACUGAAGGAACACAUAGCAUGCUCUGUAUUUCCCUAUGAAGUGAUUCAAAAUACACUGUAGCUCAUGGUACAACAAUCUAGAGACAAUUUAAUUUAAAAAGUCUUACAUCUAAAUCAUAUCUGUAAUUUCCCUAUUUAGGAUAAAUUACAAAGGUAUCAUAGUCAAACUCAACAGUGUUGUCAAUUCAGAUAAAUUCUCGUGCUUUUUUUCUCAUUAAUGGUUUCAGAAGAUUCCGUAGCCUUAGUGUCAUUAGGGUAAAAAAUGCACAACGUUACCUUUCUUUCUAUGAAAAACAUGAGGGUGGUAAAUGAUCUUUAAAAAUAUGAGACAAAGAAGGAAAAAAUGAAUGUUAUGGCUUUCUUUUAAAAGUUUCUAUAGUAAGUUCACUGAUGAGCAUAACCUUCAAGUCACCUUCAGAAAGAGUGAUGAAAGUAAAAAGUCCAAUAUAAAAUAAAACAUUUCAGUCAAUGUGAAAUUGAACCAGUCAUUUUUUUCCCAUAAGCCAUGGGAACUUUUUCCAUGAAUAAGGCGACUGAUAUAAUUCUCUCUGUGUUAUCCUGUUGUGACCAGGCUGAACAAUACUUCAUAUGACACCGAAGUUACAAUUUUAAGAUAUAGUCACUGACUGGAUUUAGCCCGAGUAACUGGCCGGUAUUUUGUUUGUACGCAAUGCUUUCUUCCUUCUGUAACCAGCUGGAAGCUUAACAAUUUCUGAGCUAGUUUAGAUACAAGGCAAAACAGGCUAAUUGUGAAGUUAGACAUGUGUUUCCUUGUAAAUGUCUCUCUGCAGAGUCAUCUCAUUUUUAAAACCCUGAAGACAACUCACAGCAGCAGCCUGCCUGUUAACCAUUUGCUCUCACUGCAGAAAGUCCUCAAAGCGCAAAUCCAACAUAAAACUCCAAAGGGUUUUUAAAUUUUUUUUAGUAAAAGCAGAAAGUAAUAAGUAACUAAGGCAGAAUUACUGCAUAAUUAGCAUUUGGCCUUAUCUGAUGUCCUCUUUCCAAUCUGGAGAUUGGCAGUACUUUACAGAAGGGCAGGAAAUUUUCUUUCUCUUUUCCUUUAUGUAUCCAUCAGAUACCAGAAAAAAAAAAAAAUCCCCUCUUUUCUCUCAUCUUCACAAGUCUAAUCCCUUACUCUGUCAUCUGCCUUUCCCAACAGCUUGAGACAUGGGCUCUCCUUGCCUGAAAGAUAACCUGUCACUCAGCAAACUAGAACAUCCUUCCCCCACACAGCCUGCAAUGCUGCAGUUUCACAUUAAUGAGCUAAAAGUAACUCCUUAAAUUAACCCCUUCUAUUAUAAAAUACAAAUGGGCCAAGAGAUCUGGUAAAAAUAAAAGAUAAAGAUAAAAAUAAAAACCUCUAGAAACUUACUGAUUGACAUGACCACGUCAUUAAAAAAAAAAAAAAAAAA
rnacentral:lncRNA from 1 species